GCCUAAAAUCUAGCCCGAUCUAACCCACAUGACCCCGCAACCAACUGUCCUUAUAAACAAAACAUUUUAACAUUUUAGUACAGGUGAUCGAAAAAUUUCUAAGCGCUUCAGAUAAAGUACCGCAAGGGAAUAAUGAAAUAGAAAUGAAAUAACCUUAAAGCCCUAAAUAGCAGAGCUUCCCCCUCGUACCUUUUGCAUCAUGGUCUAGCCAGUUUCCCCAGGCAAAAAGAAAAUUUUAGUCUGACUCCCCGAAACUAAGCGAGCUGACUUCGAAACAGCCCAAAGNGCAACCCGUCUCUGUUGCAAAAGAGUGGGAAGAUUUCCAAGUAGAGGCGAUAAACCUACCGAGAUUAGAGAUAGCUGGUUGUUCAGGAAAAGAGUCUUAGCUCUACCUUAAAUUUUUUUAUUGCACCAAACAAAACAUCAGAUUUAAGAGCUAUUCAAAUAAGGCACAGCUUAUUUGAAAUGGAUACAACCCCUAAUACUGGGUUAAUCUAGAUAUAUUAAAUAAAGUGGGCCUAAAAGCAGCCAUCUUCUAAAAAGCGUUAAAGCUUAACAUAUUAUUAUCUACAAUUCCACAAAUUUUUACUAACCCUUCAUCACUACUGAACUAUUUUAUACUCCUAUAAAAGUCAUUAUGCUAGAACAUGUAACAAGAAAUUGCCCUUCUCCAAAAUGUAUGUUUAAACCAAAUGGACCCUCCACUGGUAGUUAACGUAAAUGUAAAAAUCAUAGUACCACACAACUAGAAAACCCUAUGACCUCCCCAACGUCAACCUUACACUAGAACAUUACAGGAAAGAUUAAAAGAGAAAGAAGGAACUCGGCAAACCACAGUCCCGCCUGUUACCAAAAACACCGCCUCUUGCCCAAAUAUAAGAGGUCCAGCCUGCCCAGUGACAUAGUUUAACGGCCGCGGUACCCUAACCGUGCGAAGGUAGCAUAAUCACUUGUUCUUUAAAUAAGGACUCGUAUCAACGGCAUCACGAGGGCUGUACUGUCUCCUUUCUCCAAUCAGUGAAACUGAUCUCCCCGUGAAGAAGCGGGGAUUGACCUAUAAGACGAGAAGACCCCAUGGAGCUUUAAACCCAACACACACCCCUACGCACCCAAACCAAUACAGCCCAAGAGACUUGUGUGUUGGUUUUAGGUUGGGGGGACCGCGGAGUAAAAUCAAACCUCCAUGACAGACGGGCUAAUACCCUUAUCCAUGAACCACAAUUCUAAGAGCCAAUAAAUUGUUGUCUCCUGACCCAAUUACUUGAUCAACGAACCAAGUUACCCUGGGGAUAACAGCGCAAUCUACUUCAAGAGCCCCUAUCGACAAGUAGGUUUACGACCUCGAUGUUGGAUCAGGGUAUCCUAGUGGUGCAGCCGCUACUAAAGGUUCGUUUGUUCAACGAUUAAAACCCUA
rnacentral:rRNA from 1 species